GGCCCAGUGGCGCAGUGGUUAACGCGCCGUGCUUGUAACACGGAGACCGGGGGUUCGACUCCCCCCUAGGCCC
rnacentral:tRNA from 3 species